UACGGAGGAUCCGAGCGUUAUCCGGAUUUAUUGGGUUUAAAGGGUGCGUAGGCGGCCUAUUAAGUCAGGGGUGAAAGACGGUAGCUUAACUAUCGCAGUGCCUUUGAUACUGAUGGGCUUGAAUGUAGUUGAGGCAGGCGGAAUGUGACAAGUAGCGGUGAAAAUGCAUAGAUAUGUCACAGAACACCAAUUGCGAAGGCAGCUUGCUAAAGUACGAUUGACGCUGAGGCACGAAAGCGUGGGGAUCAAACAGG
rnacentral:rRNA from 1 species